rnacentral:rRNA from 1 species
CAGUGAGGAAGGUGGGUAUGUUAAUAGCAUACUCCAUUUGACGUUAGCUGCAGAAGAAGCACCGGCUAAACUCCGUGCCAGCAGCCGCGGUAAUACGGAGGGUGCGAGCGUUAAUCGGAAUUACUGGGCGUAAAGCGCAUGCAGGUGGUUUGUUAAGUCAGAUGUGAAAGCCCGGGGCUCAACCUCGGAAUUGCAUUUGAAACUGGCAAACUAGAGUACUGUAGAGGGGGUAGAAUUUCAGGUGUAGCGGUGAAAUGCGUAGAGAUCUGAAGGAAUACCGGUGGCGAAGGCGGCCCCCUGGACAGAUACUGACACUCACGAUGCGAAAGCGUGGGGACGCAAACAGGAUUAGACUACCCUGGUAG